rnacentral:lncRNA from 1 species
CUCUGCCUCCUGGUGGCCUCCAAAAACUAUUUUCCUGUUUCCGGCUGUCCUCUUCCCGUUUCUGAGCCCCGCGCCGAAAUCCCCGCUGUCCACAGACUUCUCUAGCCAACGGCCCUCAGCACUGGGCCCAGCUGCCUUGCAUCCCUGGAGCAAGACAGGGCGAGAGCUGAAAUGAAAGGACCGAGGCAGUGUCAGCUGCGCCGGGCCCAGUUCUGGAAGUCCUCUUCUGUGAAUGUGUUCAUGAGAUGUGAUCAAAAAUACAUUGACUGCUGCUGCCAAGUGCCAUCCAACAGAAAGGCAGAAUUAUAAAAAUUAUUACAGUGCCCUCAUCCACUUUAUUCACUACAUCUGGAACUAUAUGACUUCUGGCUCUUCCCCAAAGUCAAAAUGACAAUGAAAGGUAAACAUUUUGAAUUGAUUCAGGGCUAGGCCUGGUGGUGCGUGUCUG